rnacentral:lncRNA from 1 species
GACUCAAUCACUCUUUGACCCAUUUCUCCAUGGCUCUUCUUCUUUUGUAUGUGUGUGAGGAUUCUGCAUCUCUUUACCCCAUGGUCACUAUCUCUUUUAGCAUCUUCAUGUCUCAUCUUUUUUUUUUUUUGGUACCAGGGAUCGAACUCAGGACCUUGUGCUUGCAAGGCAGGCGGUGGAACCACUGAGCUAAAUCCCUGGCCCUUCGUCUCUCAUCUUGAUGAUAGAACCAUCUUUUGGCUGGAUUUGCUAUUGUCCCCUGCCUACAACUUUAGCCAGAUGGAAGCAAUCUUCUUUACAGUUUUCUACAUGAAAUCAAUCUGCCAACAGGAGCAAAUUCAUUUUCAACUUUUUCUUUUAGAAGAAUGACAAGUUAUCUCUGAUGUCUGGU